ACAUCAUUUCUGAGCCCAUUGAGACUUGUAGUGAAAAACCAAGCAUCCCCUGAUAAAUAGGUAGUAGAAACAAACUACCUAUGAAAAUGCUUUUUGAUUUGUGGAUUUAUCUCACAGUGUUAAAUUUUUGAUUUGAUUCAACUGGUUGAAAACAUUCUUUAUGUAGAAUCUAUGAAGAGACGUUUUUGAGCUUAUCGAGAUGUAAGGUGAGAAACUGAAUAUCCCGCUAUGCAAAGUACAAACAAGCUCUCUGUGAAAAUGCUUUGUUAUAUGGGGAUUCUUCUCACUGAAUGGAUCUUGUGUUGUGAUUCACUGGGUUGGAAACACUUUUUUUUAGAAUCUAUGAAGGGACAUUUCCGAGGCCAUCGAGGCCUAUAGUGAACAACAGAAUAUUCUGUGAUAAAAACUAGAAACAACCUACCUGUGAAAACGAUUUGUGAUCUUUGGAUUCAUCUCACCACAUGGAACCUGUGUUUUGAUUCAGCUGGUUGGAAAAACUCUUUUUGUGGAAUCUACCAAAGGAUAUUUCUAAGCCCGUUGAGGCCUAUAUUAAAUUGAUUAUCUCAUGGUUGAAAGCAUUCUUUUUGUAGAAUCUAUGAAAAGACAUUUCUGAGCUUAUUCUGGUUUAUAGAGUAAAACCGAAUAUCCUGAAAUAAAAACUGGAAACUAGGUUGGAAACUUUUUUUGUAGAAUCUAUGAAGAAACAUUUCUGAGCUCACUGAGGCAUAUUUGGAAAAAUGGGUAUCUCACAAUACAAACUGGAAACA
rnacentral:lncRNA from 1 species